rnacentral:rRNA from 1 species
GACGAACGCUGGCGGCGUGCCUAAUACAUGCAAGUUGAGCGCUGAAGGUUGGUACUUGUUCCAACUGGAUGAGCAGCGAACGGGUGAGUAACGCGUGGGGAAUCUGCCUUUGAGCGGGGGACAACAUUUGGAAACGAAUGCUAAUACCGCAUAAAAACUUUAAACACAAGUUUUAAGUUUGAAAGAUGCAAUUGCAUCACUCAAAGAUGAUCCCGCGUUGUAUUAGCUAGUUGGUGAGGUAAAGGCUCACCAAGGCGAUGAUACAUAGCCGACCUGAGAGGGUGAUCGGCCACAUUGGAACUGAGACACGGCCCAAACUCCUACGGGAGGCAGCAGUAGGGAAUCUUCGGCAAUGGACGAAAGUCUGACCGAGCAACGCCGCGUGAGUGAAGAAGGUUUUCGGAUCGUAAAACUCUGUUGGUAGAGAAGAACGUUUGUGAGAGUGGAAAGCUCAUCAAGGGACGGUAACUACCCAGAAAGGGACGGCUAACUACG